rnacentral:misc_RNA from 1 species
UUUGAUUCAGAAGUUGAAUACCUCAAAAGGUCUUUUGAAACCUUGGAGUCAGCUUGCGAAGAAUUGAGAAACAGCAAAAUGUUCCUGACGCUUUUAGAAGCAGUGCUGAAGACUGGGAACCGCAUGAAUGUUGGCACCAAUCGUGGCGAUGCCCGUGCCUUCAAGCUUGACACACUCCUUAAGCUGGUUGAUGUUAAGGGGACUGAUGGGAAAACUACUCUCUUGCAUUUUGUUGUACAGGAAAUCAUCAGAUCUGAAGGUUCUCGUCUGUCCGGUAUAAAUAAGAAUCUAACUGCUGAGAAGACUCAACAAUCCACAUUCCAGGACGAUGUUGAAUUUAGGAAGCUUGGCCUGCAAGUUGUUUCAGGUUUGAGUGGAGAGCUCACAAGUGUAAAGAAAGCUGCAGCAAUGGAUUCAGAUGUGCUUAGCAGUGAAGUUGCAAAACUGGCCAUGGGAAUUACAGAAGUCUGGGAAGUUAUUAAAUUAAAUGAGGAAAUUGCAUUGAAGGACAGCAGCAGGAAGUUCUCAGAUUCAAUGAAUGGAUUCUUGAAGAUGGCAGAGAAUGAAAUUGUCAGGAUUCAAGCACAAGAGAAACUUGCUCUCUCAUUGGUGAAGGAAAUAACUGAGUAUUUCCAUGGGAACUCAGCUAAAGAAGAAGCUCAUCCGUUCCGUAUAUUUAUGGUGGUAAGGGAUUUUCUUUCCAUUCUUGAUCAGGUAUGCAAAGAAGUUGGAAAGAUCAACGAGAGAACUAUAUACAGUUCUGUCCGUUCAAUGCCGAUAAACUCAAACCUUCCACCAGUUUUUCCUGGAUUCAAUGGAAGACAACAUGAUGGAAGACAAUGAUGAAAAUUCAUUGUCUUAGUAUUGAUCUCCACCGCAGGUGAGAAUGCACUUCUGCUGAAGCUCUCACUGAGAUGCCUAUCAGAAAAUCAGUGGCACACUGAGAUGCCUAUCAGAAAUCUUACAAGAUUUUGGAUUUUGUUUAUUUUGUGUAAUAUACCAAAGGAAUUAUGUCAGGACAUAAUAAAGUAGUAAUGCCAAAACAGGUAGAAUCUGUCUUUGUAAAUUGUUGGAAGCUGAAUUCAGGCCUUAAUUGUUCCUGUAAAUCUUUUAGAAGCUGAAUUGAAGUCGCAUCUUGUUCAAUUUCAUUAGCAUUAAAUAUGGCCGUUGUUUUGGCAUUACUACUUUAUUAUGUCCUG